GACAAGUAGGACAGCGUAAGUGAUAUUGAAUAGGCAUUAAGUGUGAUAAGAUGGAUAGAAAUAUCUAGAGUAUAGAAAAGAAAUUUGUAGAAUAAAUUGUGUAAGGAUGAAAUCUUAUAAAAUAAAUUAGAAUAUCAGAAUAGUGACAACGGCAAAUUAUCUUAAUACUGACAUUGAUUCACUAAAGUGUGGUUAUCGAAACAG
rnacentral:rRNA from 1 species